rnacentral:rRNA from 1 species
GACGAACGCUGGCGGCGUGCUUAACACAUGCAAGUCGAACGGAAAGGCCCUGCUUGCAGGGUGCUCGAGUGGCGAACGGGUGAGUAACACGUGGGUGAUCUGCCCCUUACUUUGGGAUAAGCCUGGGAAACUGGGUCUAAUACUGGAUAGGACCAUGCUGUAGGUGGUGUGGUGGAAAGAUUAGUUUCGGUAAGGGAUCAGCUCGCGGCCUAUCAGCUUGUUGGUGGGGUAAUGGCCUACCAAGGCGUCGACGGGUAGCCGGCCUGAGAGGGUGGACGGCAGAUUGGGGGUGAGAUGAGGCCCCGGCCCCCUCCGGGGGGAGGGAGGGGGGAUUGUGGCACAAGGGCAGCAGGCUGGAAGCACCACCCCGGCGUGGGGAAGGCCGGCUUGCGGUUUGAAACCUCCUUCCAGCAAGGACGAACCCUUUGGGGGGGGGGGGGUGGAAGAGGAACCCCCGCCUACCUCCGUC